GAUGAAGAACGCAGCGAAAUGCGAUAAGUAGUGUGAAUUGCAGAAUUCAGUGAAUCAUCGAAUCUUUGAACGCACAUUGCGCCCCUCGGUAUUCCGUGGGGCAUGCCUGUUCGAGCGUCAUCUACACCCUCAAGCCCUGCUUGGUGUUGGGUGCCUGUCCCGCCCCGCGCGGCGACUCACCCCAAAUGCAUUGGCGGCGGCGCCUUGUCCCUCCCGCGCAGCACAUUGCGCUUCUCGAGGCGGCGGGACCGCGUCCACGAAGCCGACAACCCGUCUUUGACCUCGGAUCAGGUAGGGAUACCCGCUGAACUUAAGCAUAUCAAUAAGCGGAGGA
rnacentral:misc_RNA from 1 species